GACGGGGCCCGCACAAGCGGUGGAGUAUGUGGUUUAAUUCGAUGCAACGCGAAGAACCUUACCUAGUCUUGACAUCCCGGAGACCCUUAGGAAACUAGGGGGUGCUUCCAUCUGGAAGAAUCUGGAGACAGGUGCUGCAUGGCUGUCGUCAGCUCGUGUCGUGAGAUGUUGGGUUAAGUCCCGCAACGAGCGCAACCCUUGCCUUUAGUUGCCAGCAGUUCGGCUGGGCACUCUAAAGGGACUGCCGGUGUUAAACCGGAGGAAGGUGGGGAUGACGUCAAGUCCUCAUGGCCUUUAUGACCAGGGCUACACACGUACUACAAUGGCCGAUACAAAGGGCAGCGACACUGCGAGGUGAAGCCAAUCCCGUAAAAUCGGUCUCAGUCCGGAUUGGAGUCUGCAACUCGACUCCAUGAAGUUGGAAUCGCUAGUAAUCGUGGAUCAGCAUGCCACGGCGAAUACGUUCCCGGGCCUU
rnacentral:rRNA from 1 species